GCGGGUAGGGUCUCCGCGACCCUCCCGGCCUCCCGCCUCCGGGCGGGUCGGCGCCCGCCGGAGGAUAACCAAACUCUGAUUUAACGACGUUUCUUCUGAGUGGUACAAGCAAAUAAUCAAAACUUUUAACAACGGAUCUCUUGGUUCUGGCAUCGAUGAAGAACGCAGCGAAAUGCGAUAAGUAAUGUGAAUUGCAGAAUUCAGUGAAUCAUCGAAUCUUUGAACGCACAUUGCGCCCGCCAGCAUUCUGGCGGGCAUGCCUGUUCGAGCGUCAUUUCAACCCUCAAGCUCUGCUUGGUGUUGGGGCCCUACAGCUGAUGUAGGCCCUCAAAGGUAGUGGCGGACCCUCCUGAUACCCCUUCCUCUUCCAUCCCCAAAGAUACCCCUUCUCAACAGCCAAAGAGCCCCCCAUUUCCCAAUGUUCCCGACGAUCCUCCCUCACAAACCUUUGCCCCGUCGAACACGAGCAAAAUACCUCCGACCGUCCCU
rnacentral:rRNA from 1 species